AUUUUUCGUUUACAAAUUUCAUGAACUCAAUGUUUUACAACCACAGGCACCAAUUUGAGAAUUUAUGAAGAAAACAGUCUCUCCCUUGGGUCCUGAGCUGUGGACUGGGAGGCUGAUAUAGAAAAUCCAUCCAUAGCUAAGUGCUCAAUCACUUUUGUGCUUCUGUUUUUUGGGUAUACACCCCCCCCCCCCAAAAAAAAAAAAAGGUAGCUUUCCCCUACUAAGGCCUAUGCUCUUCUUAGUCAUAGGUUUUUGACCAGGUUUACAGUACCAGGUAUAAACGUCCUUCCUGUGAAACAGGCUAAUAUCUAAUCAGUAUUUUAAGUUUAUUAUUUAUUUCAUGAUUCACCAAAGUGCAUUUAUUUCAUAUAUUAGAUUUUAGUUGAAUAUUUUCAUAUAAAAAUUAUUUUUUAGGUUUAAGAAAUAUACUUGAUAAUGAUAGAAUCUGGAGUUUGUUUCAAACUUUUAUGUAUAGUUGGUUGAUUUCUGUGAGAAACUAGGUUUAAUGUCUUUUCUUUCCUUUUGAGUGGAGUACAUUCCUAUGAUUUUACUUAAUUUUCUUCUUAUGAAGAUUUAUUAUCUUUUGUUAAGCUAAUGAAUAUAAAUGAAGGGGAUGUCAAAGGUUUGGGUAGAAAGGAUACAACUACUUCGUUACAAAGCAUGUCAUCUGAGGCAAAUGAUUUUUUUUUUCCAUGUUAGGAACUGUUUGUAGCUAAAAGAACCAAAGCUUACAAAUGAAAGCUGGUACAGGAGGCCUUAAGUAAAAGUGAAAUUUCCCAAAUCACAUUCUGAUGGAUAUUUGGGGAUGUUCUGCAAACAAUCAUAUUUAUAGAAACCAGAACUGAAGAGUUGCUGUUAAUUUAGACAGAUAUGGACAAGUAUUGUGUUUUCAAGUAGGUGAAUUAUGGGAACCACUGAGCAUGAUAGUCGUUUAGUGAGUAAAUCUGAUGACUUGUUUAUUGAAAAAAUGGUUGACAGUAGGAAGAGAAGGUUAUCUGUAUCUCUGUGCCACCAGAUAAUUUAAAUGGUUUCUGCUUAAAAAUAGGAUUAUUGAUAAUAGUUAUGGGGUAUGUGACAGACUCAGCAUAUGUAGAUUUCAGUCUACUUUCCUUUUUCUAAACGAAUUUUCUCAGGUAGAGAAAUAGGAGAGACUUAGUAGCUGAUUUAAUAGCCUUGCCAAAAAGAUGUUGACUUUAGUAUGUAACUAGGGGAUCUAUCUGAACAUGUUCUUGUUACGUGUCUGUGUCUGAGUUAGUUUUUGGAUAUGACCUUGAUGAUGACAUGAAAAAGGUGUGCAUGUUUUCAGGUGACAUGAACAGGAAGUAAAUGCUGAUAUACUGGUUUUGCAUACCUGAUUAUUUGGGCUGGCACUGGGAGUGGGAAGAAUGAAAGAUGUGAAAUUAGGACCGCUUAAGAGCAGUCUAUGUGUAGGAAAGGUGUAACGUUUCUGCUGACUAUCCUUACAUUACUACCGUACAACAGUUCAAUUAUAGAAACAGGACAUGACAAUUUAUACUAUAGUCUUUUUUUUUUUUUUUUUUUUUUUUUGAGACAGGGUUUCUCAGUAGCUUUGGAGUCUUCCUGGAACUAGCUCUUGCAGACCAGGCUGGCCUUCAGCCCACAGAGAUCAGCCUGCCUCUGCCUUUCGAGUCCUGGAAUAAAAGACGUGUGCCACCACCAUCCAGCCUCAUCCUGUACUCUUACAGUUCACUUGGACCAUGUUUAAGAGGAAUAUGGAUGUUAAUUUGAGCUAUGAACAGGAUAUGCUCUUGAGAGAAGUAGAAAUUUUGGAUACCUUUGGGAAAGUAGUUAAAAUGAGAGCUGUCAGACAGAUAUCUAAUUCAGACAAGAGACUGUAUAAAGAAGUUUAUGAUGGCUGCCAGGUACAUUUGACAAACUAUGGUAUGUUUUGUUUAUAUAGUUUCAAAUCAAAGUAAAACUUGUAGGUAGAUGUCAUUUUUUGUUUCGUAAUGAUAUUCUAAUAAGUGAGUCUGUAAAGUAAAUCAUUUUUAUUUUGCUGCUACCAGAGAUUGAAUUUGCUUUAGCUGUCUACCACUGAACUAUUUACACCGCAAAAAUUGUCUUUAGAUGUAGUGAAUUAUCUAUCAAUAGCUGCAUUUGGAUUUGCUUAAGCUUCUGGAUGGUAGGUGCAUCAUACAUACUAUGUACAUAGAUAGUCUUUAAGACAGCAUAAAAUGUGAAGAUGUAGAAGCACCUAUUCUAACUACCAUUUUGGAACAUACUUAGGAGCUCUUUUUUUGG